AAUAUUGUUAAUUAAAUUCGAAACAUGUAAAAAGUUGAAUGGUUUACCCUAGGCCUAGCUGACUAAAACAAAACUACAAAUCUUCAUCAUGGACCCAGAGCUUAAGCACUUUAAACAACAAACCAAAUAAUCUCCCUACAUCACCUUACUUCUACGUGACAAAAUCUUAGCCAUUACGGAGCAUUUGAUGCUUCCAAUCACAGAGCAAAAAAAUUCUACACAAGCGCUGCUCCAUCUCAAUGAUUGAUCUCAACAUGGACUGAUGGACUGGAACAGACAGCAGAGAGAAAAUUCCCAGGCUAAAAAUACAUUCGCCCAAACUAUUUGGAGAUAGAAAACAAACAAGAAUCUGAAAUUUUUCCUAAGACAAACAAGAAUCGGAUUACCUCUUCGGGCAGGACGUACAGUCGUGAUCUGUCCAGUCUGCAGCCUCCGCAAAAACUGAACCAAUUUAACAAUCCAUAAAGAACACGGCGAAGCAAAACGAAGUGAAAAUUGACUGAAGCUGAAAGGAUUAGGAUCGGGGCUGCUCACCUCCGCCAGUGCUCUCUUCACCUGUACACAUCCAACCAAAUUAAAGCCAGAUCUAGCGAAAAUGUUGUCGGUGUUGGCAAAGGGAGGCACACAAGCCACGGUCACCCAC
rnacentral:lncRNA from 1 species